GAUUCUUUGGAUGUGCGCUCCGGCUGCACUCCAAAAACCCAUCUCACACACUGUGCGCCUCGAGCGGGGAGACCCGCUCGCCUUUACACAUCACACAAGUAAACCAGAAUGUCAAAUACCAUAAAUUAAUACAACUUUCAACAACGGAUCUCUUGGCUCU
rnacentral:misc_RNA from 1 species